ACCUUCUGGCAUGAGCCUGAAGGCUUUCCUUUGAACAUCUUCAUUCACAGGAUGAACUCCUAGUGAUGACAGCAUCAGUUAUUCCUGGUGCAUCAGAGUUAAUUUCCUGUUAUAUUUAAAUGCACAAAUACUGUGACACAGCCAUGUAAUUUUGCCUAGCUUUUCACAUACUGAAAUGCUACUUCCUUUCUCAUCUUCCUUGAACUAGGCUUCAGGGAAGCCUAUGCUAAUGGAAGCUAAUGCUUCGAGGAAGCUUUAGCACUAUGAUGAAAGCAGGCACAGAUAUUAUUCUACACCUGGAUUACAAUUUUCACCAUUUUGUGAUGCUAUGUCAUGAGUUAUAU
rnacentral:lncRNA from 1 species